UCUUUUUGCUUGAAGGUAAUAUUUUUGAAGAAACCUAUGCUCUUUGACGGCCCUUUUUCUCAUUAAAGGAACUUGUUUUUUUUCGAAAAUACCCGUUUAUUUUUACUUUUUUAAUGUUUUUAUACCGCCGUCUUAAGAAUUAAUUUCAACAUUCUUUCCAAAUAAUUUUUUUAAAAAGUCAGGUCAAGGUGAAGCUCUAAAUAAGGUACUAAUAAGUUAUUUAUUAAAAAAAUUAAAAGAAAUUAGAUCAAAAUCUCUUUAAAUUAAGAUUUAACAGUAUUAUUAUAAUAAUAAUUUAUUAAGAAUUAGUAAAAAAUGGUGA
rnacentral:rRNA from 1 species